ensembl:lncRNA
GAAAGCGCCAGAGUCCAAUUUGGGAUUACUUUGAAUAUGACUGUGUUUUGGAUAAAGCAAGUGUCUUGUAGUGGAAAGAGACAAAAUAUGAGGGACAUUUCUAAAGGGAAAAAAAUCCCACAAACCUUAAAGUGCACUUGAAAAGCUCACACAGAAGGCUAACCUAGCUUACCUUGAGAAGGGAGCACACUCAACCCUCAUCCCCAGAAACAGACGCUAACCCCACGCAAGGCAGCGUGAUGCAUCCCGAGACAACAGGACGGGGAUAUCUACACAACUGUCUCUUCAGCAGGAUGUUCAGGCAAAACCUGGAGCAUACGUCACUCUUCAGUGUGAGAUUUCCACAGAUGAAAUAAUCUCAGUGCUGAAGUGGAGCAGAGCUGACCUGAACACAGACGGCUACGUCUACUUCUACAGGAACAAACGAUUCUAUGAAAACUACCAACAUCCAUCUUUUCAUGGCCGAGUGAAGCUGAGGGACCCAGAGAUGAAGGAUGGAGACGUUUCUCUGAUUCUGAAGAACGUUGCGUUUAAUGACACUGGGAUGUAUGAGUGUCACAUAGCUGUGAGGAACCCUGUGAGAAGUAAAAGAGUUCACACUGAGAUCAGUCUCUUCAUCAACCUCACAGUCACAGGUGAAACACAUGAAAGCGUGUUGGAGAAAACAGUCAUGGAAAAACGAGGUGCAGAUGGAAACAUGGAUGAUGCUGAAAGGGUCGGAUCUCCAUCUCUUCAGGUUGUUGUUCCUGUUGCUGUUUUUGUUGCUCUUGUUGCCGUUGCUUUUGGGGUACACCGAAAAACUCAUCAACAUAAGAAGCAACAUCCAGUCAAGCUUCCUACUGAAGACUCUGCUGAAGUGUAAUGAAGCUGCUACAGAAACAUAUAAGCUUUCUUUAUGAAAACUAAAGUACUGAAAAGCACGUUGUUACAGCAUUAACACAUUUUAUUACAUUUAUUGAUAUACAGCUUUUAACAAAUUUAUUAAACCACAUUCGUUAACCAAGAAAAACCACCCAGCAUCACAAACAGCUGAAUUCACCUUCAGAAUAUUCACAUCUAAUCCUAAAGUAUGUGCGUAAAUGCAUUCACACACACACACACUGCAGGCCACCAUCUCCAGUCUACUUCAGUUUUAGUCUUUUUCUGGUCUGAGUAAUUUUACACUUAACGUCAGUAUUAUUAUUUUUCUUAUUCUUCCAUUUUGUUUGUGUUUUUUUAAAUUGAAGUUACAAAACUUUGAGGAAAAACACAGAUGCCUUUCUUUUGACGGAAAUAUUGAUAUUUUUAUAGUGAUCAGGUCAUGUACUGUGCUAUGGUUUUAUUUUAUUCCAGGUUGUUUAAAUUUAGCUGCUGUAGCACUGAGAUAUCUCAAAGCUUGAGGACAGAAGCAUGAAAAACUGCACAUGUUGUGUGAAGUAACUGAUGAAACUAAUUGUGAAUAUAUCUGAUCUGGUUCAAUGAAUGACUUCCUAAUGUUCAAAUUAGGAAGUCAUUCAUGGGAACAUUCCUAAUGUGCUGAUGGCAGCGUCACUAUACAGAAGUGCAAACCAGGAAGUUAAACACUUCUCUGCAUCAACACAAACUAAAUGCCUGAAUGAUAAAGAUAUGUGCAGGUCUACUAGUGCAUGUUUUAUGAGAAAUACUGUUAAAAUGUGAGGUAAUUUUAUUAAAAUAUCUGUGUUUUGUGAGAAGGUCCCAUAGAAACUGUAUAUUUUAGAUAUGAUCAUUGUCCAACAUCUUCGCAAUGAAAUGAAAACAGUUGUUUUAUGAUGCAACCUGAUACUACUAUUAAUAGUAGUAUCAGUAAUAGUAAUAUUUAGAGGGAUUGUUGAAGCUCACUGUGAACUAAACUAAACAUGAAUUAAACAAUGCAAACAAAUGUGUACUGAAUGAUCCCACCCUGGGAAAUAAAUAGGAAUAAAUAAAUGUGUAUCAUUGAUGAAAGUCAAAACUUUAAUAUUUUUGUUUAUUGCUGCUCAAAAUUGUUGGUUCAGUUAUAAGAGCUGUUGAAUUUUCCGGUAACUGUUGUUUUCGUAUCAACUCUGAGUUAUUGUUUGAAAAUAUUAUUGUUCGAACCAUCACGAUGAAGCAAAGUCAUUCACAAUGAUGCUGUUUGCAAGAUCAGGUGGAAGCUGCUCUGUGACAAUGAAUGUAUUUAUACUUGACUUGAAAGAUCUGUGAAUGCACUGCUGGCUUUGUUUGUCUUUAAAUAUACAGUACUCAUAAAACAGGGCAAACAAAGGAAAAUUAAAAAAAAGAAAAGAAAUAAAUGUUAUGUACUUUGCGUUCUGUACAAUAUGCCAGUUU